GGUGCCGGUGGUGCAAAAGGGAGAGCACGCGCUCCUGGAUUGGGCGUAAUGCGGGUUCAAGUCCCGGUGAUUUGAACCA